UACGUAGGGUGCAAGCGUUAAUCGGAAUUACUGGGCGUAAAGCGUGCGCAGGCGGUUUUGUAAGUCUGUCGUGAAAUCCCCGGGCUCAACCUGGGAAUGGCGAUGGAGACUGCAAGGCUAGAGUUUGGCAGAGGGGGGUAGAAUUCCACGUGUAGCAGUGAAAUGCGUAGAUAUGUGGAGGAACACCGAUGGCGAAGGCAGCCCCCUGGGUCAAAACUGACGCUCAUGCACGAAAGCGUGGGGGAGCAAACAGG
rnacentral:rRNA from 1 species